rnacentral:tRNA from 1 species
GGGCGCAUGGUGUAGGGGUAUCACGCAUCCUUAGCAUGGAUGAGGUCCUGGGUUCAAUUCCCAGUGCGUCCA